AUUGAACGCUGGCGGCAUGCUUUACACAUGCCAGUCGAACGGUAACAGGCCGCAAGGUGCUGACGAGUGGCGAACGGGUGAGUAAUGCAUCGGAACGUGCCCAGUCGUGGGGGAUAACUACUCGAAAGAGUAGCUAAUACCGCAUACGAUCUAUGGAUGAAAGCGGGGGACCGUAAGGCCUCGCGCGAUUGGAGCGGCCGAUGUCAGAUUAGGUAGUUGGUGGGGUAAAGGCUCACCAAGCCAACGAUCUGUAGCUGGUCUGAGAGGACGACCAGCCACACUGGGACGGAGACACGGCCCAGACUCCUACGGGAGGCAGCAGUGGGGAAUUUUGGACAAUGGGCGCAAGCCUGAUCCAGCAAUGCCGCGUGCAGGAAGAAGGCCUUCGGGUUGUAAACUGCUUUUGUACGGAACGAAACGGCUCUGGUUAAUACCCGGGGCUAAUGACGGUACCGUAAGAAUAAGCACCGGCUAACUACGUG
rnacentral:rRNA from 1 species